AGCAGCCGCGGUAAUUCCAGCUCCAAUAGCGUAUAUUAAAGUUGUUGCAGUUAAAAAGCUCGUAGUUGAAUUUCGGGGUCAGCAGGUUGGUCGUGCCAAUGGUAUGCACUGGCCUUGCUGAUUCCUCCCUCUUGUAGAACCGUAAUGCCAUUAAGUUGGUGUUGCGGGGAAACAGGACUGUUACUUUGAAAAAUUAGAGUGUUUAAAGCAGGCUAACGCCUGAAUACAUUAGCAUGGAAUAAUGAAAUAGGACGAUCGAUCCUAUUUUGUUGGUUUCUAGGAUUGACGUAAUGAUUAAUAGGGAUAGUUGGGGGCAUUAGUAUUCAAUUGUCAGAGGUGAAAUUCUUGGAUUUAUUGAAGACUGACUACUGCGAAAGCAUUUGCCAAGGAUGUUUUCAUUAAUCAAGAACGAAAGUUAGGGGAUCGAAGACGAUCAGAUACCGUCGUAGU
rnacentral:rRNA from 1 species